rnacentral:lncRNA from 1 species
CUUGGGACAACAUUCUUAUAUAACGAUUCAGGCAAUGAAUCUUAAAUAAAACAUGAUAAUAUAGGGUAUGUCAUGUGUAAUGUAAAUUUACCAAACUUCUGGAAAUAUAAACGGAAGAGGAAGUUGUCUAUGAAUAAAAGCCGGAGUGAUGACGGACACAUAUCCGGACUUCUUUUUUUUCCGUUUUUCUCCCAAAAUAACCGAAACUGAAUAAUCAUAAGAAUGGAUGACAAAUGCGACUAUGCAUGGUACCUAUAGGACAUAUAGUCACAAUGAUCAAUUUAUUGUGGAAGGAGGAGAAGCGACACCAAAAAUGAGGUCUUCUCGUUUAAUAGGAUUGUGGAAGGAGGAGAAGCGACACCAAAAAUGAGGUCUUCUCGUUUAAUAGUAUAGAU